UACGUAGGGGGCGAGCGUUGUCCGGAUUUAUUGGGCGUAAAGAGCGUGUAGGCGGUUCGGUAAGUCUGUCGUGAAAUCCUGAGGCUCAACCUCGGGCGUGCGAUGGAUACUGCCGGGCUAGAGGGUGGUAGAGGCGAGUGGAAUUCCCGGUGUAGCGGUGAAAUGCGCAGAUAUCAGGAAGAACACCAACGGCGAAGGCAGCUCGCUGGGACGGUACUGACGCUGAGACGCGAAAGCGUGGGGAGCGAACAGG
rnacentral:rRNA from 1 species